rnacentral:rRNA from 1 species
AUUGAACGCUGGCGGCAGGCCUAACACAUGCAAGUCGAGCGAGCGGCGGACGGGUGAGUAAUGUCUGGGAAACUGCCUGAUGGAGGGGGAUAACUACUGGAAACGGUAGCUAAUACCGCAUACCAUCAGAUUUUCCCAGAUGUGAUUAGCUAGUAGGUGGGGUAACGGCUCACCUAGGCGACGAUCCCUAGCUGGCCUGAGAGGAUGACCAUCCACACUGGAACUGAGAAACGGCCCAAACUCCUACGGGAGGCAGCAUUGGGGAAUAUUGCACAAUGGGCGCAAGCCUGAUGCAGCAAUGCCGCGGGUGUGAAGAAGGCCUUCGGGUUGUAAAGCACUUUCAGCGGGGAGGCGGUACCCGAAGAGGAAGCAACGGCUAACUCCGUGCCAGCCGCCGCGGUAAUUC